CCUACGGGAGGCAGCAGUAGGGAAUCUUCCACAAUGGACGCAAGUCUGAUGGAGCAACGCCGCGUGAGUGAAGAAGGCUUUCGGGUCGUAAAACUCUGUUGUUGGAGAAGAAUGGUCGGCAGAGUAACUGUUGCCGGCGUGACGGUAUCCAACCAGAAAGCCACGGCUAACUACGUGCCAGCAGCCGCGGUAAUACGUAGGUGCCAGCAGCCGCGGUAAU
rnacentral:rRNA from 1 species